AGAUGAAAAAUUUAUUAUUAAUAAAUUAUAUUUAAAGGAUUAUUUAGUUUUAUUAAAUUUUUAGAAAAAAUUUAUUUAAUUAUAGUAUAUUAGUAUAGUUAUAGAAAAUAUUUAAUUUUAUAAAAGAAGAAUUAGAGUUUUGUACCUUGUGUAUCAGGGUUUAUUAAAUAAUAAUUAAUUAAUUUAAUAAUCUCGAAUUUUAAAGAGUUAAUUAUUUAUAGAUUUUACUGUAAAAUAAGUAUUUUUCAUAAGUAAUUAGUAAUGAAACGUUAGUCGUUUUUUAAUAUAUCUAGUUUUUAAAGAAAAAAAUUUAAUUUUUUUUAUAAAAUAAUUAAUUUUAAUUUAUUAAGAUUAAUUUUAUUAUAAAUUAUAUAAUUAGGGAUAAGCUUAUUUGUAUAUAUUUAGAAAUUUUUUUUAUAAGUUAAAAUAGUAGAAUUAGAAAUUUUCAUCAAUUAAUUUGUUAUAAUUAAUUUAUUUUUAGGAAAAAUUUAUAUAAUUAAAGUUUUAGAUUUUUUAUUUAAAUAUUAAAUUUAAUGUUUAAAUUUAAGGAAUAAUGAUAAAAUUAGUAUAAAAAAUUGUAAAGUUAUUUAGAUGGUUAAUAUUAAUAAAAGGAAUUCGGCAAAAUUAUUUUUCGCCUGUUUAUUAAAAACAUGUCUUUUUGUUAAUAAUUUAAAGUCUGACCUGCCCAAUGAUUAAUUUAAUGGCCGCAGUAUUUUGACUGUGCAAAGGUAGCAUAAUCAGUAGUUUCUUAAUUAGAAGCUGGAAUGAAAGGUUGGACGAGAAAAUUUCUGUCUCUUAUUAAUUUUUUUUGAAUUUUAUUUUUAAGUUAAAAAGCUUAAAUUACUUUAAAAGACGAGAAGACCCUAUAGAGUUUUAUAUUUUAUAAGAAAGUAAUGAUAUUAUAAAUAAAUUAGUCAAUUUUUAUAAAAUAUUUAGUUGGGGUGAUUGAAAAAAUUAAUUAACUUUUUUUGAUUAUAAACAUUUAUAAAUGAUAUAUUGAUCCAAAUUUUUUGAUUAUAAGAAUAAAUUACCUUAGGGAUAACAGCGUUAUUUCUUUAAAGAGUUCAUAUCGAUAAAGAAGUUUGCGACCUCGAUGUUGGAUUAAAAUAAAUUUUUGGUGUAGAAGCUAAGAAAUUAGGUCUGUUCGACCUUUAAAAUUUUACAUGAUCUGAGUUUAAACCGGUGUGAGCCAGGUUGGUUUCUAUCUUUAAAUAAUUAAAAUAUUUUAGUACGAAAGGACCAAUUAUUUAUAAAAUUUGUUAUUAAUUGAUUAUUAUUAAUAU
rnacentral:rRNA from 1 species